rnacentral:sRNA from 1 species
UGAAAUCUAUAAAUAAACUACCGUCAUC